CGAAACUCUGACAGAGUGAAAAACCAACGAGUGGAAUAUGUUCAGAGAAUGUUUGAGAUUGAAGGACGGCCUGUUCCCCAUGAAAUUAUCUUUGUGGAGGAGGCAGGUUUUAACCUGACCAAAAGGAGGAGAAGAGGGAGGAACAGAAUUGGUCAUCGGGCUAUUGUAAAUGUCCCUGGUCAGCGUGGAGGGAAUGUCACUAUGUGCGCAGCCAUCAGCCAAUGAGGGGUACUCCACCGCCAUGCCAUUCUAGGACCCUAUAAUACUAUGCUCCUCCUUGCUUUCCUUGAUGGUCUAAGAGAGCAUAUGUUCCAGCUGGACUACAGGGAACCAGCACAGCCAGAGCAGCCUCACUACGUUGUUGUUUGGGAUAAUGUCAGCUUCCAUCAUGCUGUUCUGGUUUGUGACUGGUUUACCAAUAACCCAAGGUUUUCUAACAUCUUUCUGCCUGCAUACUCUCCCUUUCUAAACCCGAUAGAGGAGUUUUUUUCGGCAUGGCGGUGGAAAGUGUAUGACAGAGCCUUAUGUCCGUGUUCACCUCCUCCAGGCCAUGGAAGAAGCCUGCCUAGACAUAACAGUAGAUGCAUGCCAGGGGUGGAUCAGGCAUGCAAGAGGAUUUUACCCCCGCUGCCUGGCUAGGGCCAAUAUAGCCUGUGACGUAGAUGAGAUUCUCUGGCCUGACCCAGACCAAAGACAGGAUGCUGAGGUGGAAUAAUUUUUGUGUAUGUGUUGUACUGUAUAGUACAUGAAUAAAAAUUUGCCAGUG